ACAAUAUGUGUGACCACUGUGUGGGCGCGUGACAACCAGCGUAACGUGGAACUCAUUCCUGGUCGACUAGAUAUGUUUUCUCAUCAAAGCUUCAAUUAGUCCUUGAAGCUCAGGGUCUCCAUAGGAAUUUGAUCACGUGACCCACUUCGGUCUGCUCUAGUAGGUCUGAUAAGCAAACAUGGCACGGCUGUUAUUACAGGGCUCUACAAACAUGAGGUCUCCUUGCCGUCGAUGCGCUCAGGUCAGGAUUGACUGCUCCAGAUUCCUCUGGCGGCUUCCCCUCCUCUCAGACAAGGCUACAGUCAAGGCUACAAGGAGACAGCUACAUGUGUACAGGCCCAAUGCAUAACCAGGAAGGAAGAACAAAGGUCCAAAAGCUACAUUCUCACCAACACAAAGCAGUUGUUUUGUUCUACUCAGACCUCUUAACUGCUUUGUUUUACACCCAGGCUUCUGACGAUAGACUUCUCCGUAAACAAAAUAUGUAAUGUGUGAGUAGGUUUUCUGUAUGGAAAUAAUGGCAAUAUUCAUUGGGGACUUUCUGUGUUUAAAACAAUUGUAAGAGCUACUUUCCUGUCUUGGUGA